AGUGAACGCUGGCGGUAGGCCUAACACAUGCAAGUCGAACGGCAGCACAGUAAGAGCUUGCUCUUACGGGUGGCGAGUGGCGGACGGGUGAGGAAUACAUCGGAAUCUACUUUUUCGUGGGGGAUAACGUAGGGAAACUUACGCUAAUACCGCAUACGACCUACGGGUGGAAGCAGGGGAUCUUCGGACCUUGCGCGAUUGAAUGAGCCGAUGUCGGAUUAGCUAGUUGGCGGGGUAAAGGCCCACCAAGGCGACGAUCCGUAGCUGGUCUGAGAGGAUGAUCAGCCACGCUGGAACUGAGACACGGUCCAGACUCCUACGGGAGGCAGCAGUGGGGAAUAUUGGACAAUGGGCGCAAGCCUGAUCCAGCCAUACCGCGUGGGUGAAGAAGGCCUUCGGGUUGUAAAGCCCUUUUGUUGGGAAAGAAAAGCAGCAGGUUAAUACCCCGCUGUUCUGACGGUACCCAAAGAAUAAGCACCGGCUAACUUCGUG
rnacentral:rRNA from 1 species